rnacentral:rRNA from 1 species
CCUACGGGAGGCAGCAGUAGGGAAUCUUCCGCAAUGGACGAAAGUCUGACGGAGCAACGCCGCGUGAACGAUGAAGGCCUUCGGGUCGUAAAGUUCUGUUGUUAGGGAAGAACAAGUGCUAGUUGAAUAAGCUGGCACCUUGACGGUACCUAACCAGAAAGCCACGGCUAACUACGUGCCAGCAGCCGCGGUAAUACGUAGGUGGCAAGCGUUGUCCGGAAUUAUUGGGCGUAAAGCGCGCGCAGGCGGUUUCUUAAGUCUGAUGUGAAAGCCCCCGGCUCAACCGGGGAGGGUCAUUGGAAACUGGGAAACUUGAGUGCAGAAGAGGAAAGUGGAAUUCCAAGUGUAGCGGUGAAAUGCGUAGAGAUUUGGAGGAACACCAGUGGCGAAGGCGACUUUCUGGUCUGUAACUGACGCUGAGGCGCGAAAGCGUGGGGAGCAAACAGGAUUAGAUACCCUGGUAGUCCACGCUGUAAACGAUGAGUGCUAAGUGUUAGAGGGUUUCCGCCCUUUAGUGCUGAAGUUAACGCAUUAAGCACUCCGCCUGGGGAGUACGGUCGCAAGACUGAAACUUAUAAGUUAGUUAGUAGCGUUGNGAGNGCGACGACGACACACGGAGGUUAGG